rnacentral:ncRNA from 1 species
UUCACCUGUUUAUCAAAAACAUGUCUUUUUGUAUUUAAUUUAAAGUCUAACCUGCCCACUGAUAGAUAUUAAAGGGCCGCAGUAUUUUGACUGUGCGAAGGUAGCAUAAUCAGUAGUCUUUUAAUUGAAGGCUUGUAUGAAUGGUUGAAUGAGA